rnacentral:rRNA from 1 species
CAGCCGCCGCGGUAAUACAGAGGGUGCGAGCGUUAAUCGGAUUUACUGGGCGUAAAGCGUGCGUAGGCGGCUUCUUAAGUCGGAUGUGAAAUCCCUGAGCUUAACUUAGGAAUUGCAUUUGAUACUGGGAAGCUAGAGUAUGGGAGAGGAUGGUAGAAUUCCAGGUGUAGCGGUGAAAUGCGUAGAGAUCUGGAGGAAUACCGAUGGCGAAGGCAGCCAUCUGGCCUAAUACUGACGCUGAGGUACGAAAGCAUGGGGAGCAAACAGGAUUAGAGACCCCUGUAGUCCCUGUCUCUUAUAC